rfam:Schistosoma margrebowiei strain Zambia genome assembly, scaffold: SMRZ_scaffold0000096
GUCCAGUUUGACGAGUCCCAAAUGGGAUGAAACAUGUGUCCUGGAU